CAAACUUACCACCGAAGCUACGGGCUUGCGUAAGCAAGCGGUAGGGGAGCGUCGUAAUCGGGCUGAAGUCGUACCGUAAGGAGCGGUGGACUGAUUACGAGUGAGAAUGUUGGCAUUAGUAGCGAGAUGUAGGUGAGAAUCCUACAGGCCGAAUAUCUAAGGUUUCCUCAGGAAGGCUCGUCCGCUGAGGGUUAGUCGGGACCUAAGCCGAGGCCGAAAGGCGUAGGCGAUGGACAAUCGGUUGAUAUUCCGAUACCACUACCAUCGUUAUUAUCGAGGGUGUGACGGAGAAGGAUAGUGUGUGCUAGCGAUUGGAAAUGCUAGUCUAAGCGUUUAGGGAGUUACGGUAGGCAAAUCCGCUGUAACAAUUCUGAGGCGUGAUGGGGAAGGUCAUUAAGACCGAAGUACAUGAUUCCAUGCUUCCAAGAAAAGCAUCUAGAGAGAGAAGUAGUGCCCGUACCGCAAACCGACACAGGUAGAUGAGGAGAGAAUCCUAAGGCCGGCGGAAGAAUUGCAGUUAAGGAACUAGGCAAAUUGACCCCGUAAGUUAGCGAGAAGGGGUGCCUGCGAGAGCAGGCCGCAGAGAAUAGGCCCAAGCAACUGUUUAGCAAAAACACAGGUCUCUGCUAAAGCGUAAGCUGAUGUAUAGGGGCUGACGCCUGCCCGGUGCUGGAAGGUUAAGGGGAACACUUAGCGCAAGCGAAGGUGUGAACUUAAGCCCCAGUAAACGGCGGCCGUAACUAUAACGGUCCUAAGGUAGCGAAAUUCCUUGUCAGGUAAGUUCUGACCCGCACGAAUGGCGUAAUGACUUGGGCACUGUCUCAACUGCAAAUCCGGCGAAGUUGUAGUGCGAGUGAAGAUGCUCGCUACCCGCGAUUGGACGGAAAGACCCCGUAGAGCUUUACUGUAGCUUAGCAUUGAAUUCCGGUAUUGUCUGUACAGGAUAGGUGGGAGACUGGGAAACUAGGGCGUCAGCCUUAGUGGAGUCAACCUUGGGAUACCACCCUGACAGUACUGGGGUUCUAACAGGACGCCAUGAAACUGGUGACUGGACAUUGUUAGGUGGGCAGUUUGACUGGGGCGGUCGCCUCCUAAAAAGUAACGGAGGCGCCCAAAGGUUCCCUCAGAACGGUCGGAAAUCGUUCGUAGAGUGCA
rnacentral:rRNA from 1 species